rnacentral:rRNA from 1 species
GUCCAGACUCCUACGGGAGGCAGCAGUGGGGAAUAUUGCACAAUGGGGGAAACCCUGAUGCAGCGACGCCGCGUGAGUGAAGAAGUAUUUCGGUAUGUAAAGCUCUAUCAGCAGGGAAGAAAAUGACGGUACCUGAUUAAGAAGCCCCGGCUAACUACGUGCCAGCAGCCGCGGUAAUACGUAGGGGGCAAGCGUUAUCCGGAUUUACUGGGUGUAAAGGGAGCGUAGACGGCAGCACAAGUCUGGAGUGAAAUGCCGGGGCUUAACCCCGGAACUGCUUUUGAAACUGUGCAGCUAGAGUGCAGGAGAGGUAAGUGGAAUGCCUAGUGUAGCGGUGAAAUGCGUAGAUAUUAGGAGGAACACCAGUGGCG